GAUGAACGCUGGCGGCGUGCCUAACACAUGCGAGUCGAACGAACAGACGAGGAGUUUGCGCCUCUGACGUUAGCGGCGGACGGGAGAGUAACACGUGUAUAACCUACCUAUAAGACUGGUAUAACUACGGGAAACCGGAGCUAAUACCGGAUGAUAUAUUGCACCGCGGGGGUCAAUAGUGAGAGUCGGUGUUGCUGGCAGUAAUAGCUGGAUACGCGCCGUAUGAGCUAGUUGGUAGGGUAAAGGCUUACCAAGGCGAGGAGGCGUAGCCGACCUGAGGGGGGGAUCGGCCACCCUGGAGGGGAGACAGGCUCCAGACUCCUGCGGGAGGCAGCAGUAGGGAAUCUGCCGCAAUGGGCGAGAGCCUGACGGAGCAACGCGGCGUGAGUGAUGAAGGCGCUCGGAUCGUAAAGCUCUGUUAUUGGUGAAGAACAAAUGUGUAAUUAACCGUGCCCGUAUUGACGGUACCGGGUCAGAAAGCCCCGGCUAACUACGUG
rnacentral:rRNA from 1 species